GACGAACGCUGGCGGCGUGCCUAAUACAUGCAAGUAGAACGCUGAAGGAGGAGCUUGCUUCUCUGGAUGAGUUGCGAACGGGUGAGUAACGCGUAGGUAACCUGCCUGGUAGCGGGGGAUAACUAUUGGAAACGAUAGCUACUACCGCAUAAUAGCAGUUGUUGCAUGACAACUGUUUGAAAGUUGCAAUUGCCCCACUACCAGAUGGACCUGCGUUGUUUUAGCUAGUUGGGGGGGUAACGGCUCACCAAGGCGACGAUACAUAGCCGACCUGAGAGGGUGGUCGGCCACACUGGGACUGGGACACGGCCCAGACUCCUACGGGAGGCAGCAGUAGGGAAUCUUCGGAAAUGGACGGAAGGCUGACCGAGCAACGCCGCGGGAGUGAAGGAGGGUUUCGGAUCGUAAAGCUCUGUUGUAAGAGAAGAACGAGUGGGAGAGUGGAAAGUUCACACUGUGACGGUAUCUUACCAGAAAGGGACGGCUAACUACGUG
rnacentral:rRNA from 1 species